rnacentral:rRNA from 1 species
UACGUAGGGUGCGAGCGUUGUCCGGAAUUAUUGGGCGUAAAGAGCUUGUAGGCGGUUUGUCGCGUCUGCUGUGAAAAUCCGGGGCUCAACCCCGGACUUGCAGUGGGUACGGGCAGACUAGAGUGCGGUAGGGGGAGAUUGGAAUUCCUGGUGUAGCGGUGGAAUGCGCAGAUAUUCAGGAGGAACACCGAUGGCGAAGGCAGAUCUCUGGGCCGUAACUGACGCUGAGGAGCGAAAGCAUGGGGAGCGAACAGG